rnacentral:rRNA from 1 species
UACGGGAGGCAGCAGUGGGGAAUAUUGCACAAUGGGCGCAAAGCCUGAUGCAGCCAUGCCGCGUGUAUGAAAAAGGCCUUCGGGUUGUAAAGUACUUUCAGUCGUGAGGAAGGUGUUAAGGUUAAUAACCUUAGCAAUUGACGUUAGCGACAGAAGAAGCACCGGCUAACUCCGUGCCAGCAGCCGCGGUAAUACGGAGGGUGCGAGCGUUAAUCGGAAUUACUGGGCGUAAAGGGCACGCAGGCGGUUAAUUAAGUUGGAUGUGAAAUCCCCGGGCUUAACCUGGGAAUGGCAUUCAAGACUGGUUAGCUAGAGUCUUGUAGAGGGGGUAGAAUUCCAUGUGUAGCGGUGAAAUGCGUAGAGAUGUGGAGGAAUACCGGUGGCGAAGGCGGCCCCUGGCAAAGCUGACGGCCCAUGUGCGAAAGCGUGGGGAGCAAACAGGGAUUAGAUACC